rnacentral:rRNA from 1 species
CCUACGGGGGGCAGCAGUGGGGAAUAUUGCACAAUGGGGGAAACCCUGAUGCAGCAACGCCGCGUGGGUGAAGAAGUAUUUCGGUAUGUAAAGCCCUAUCAGCAGGGAAGAGAAUGACGGUACCUGACUAAGAAGCCCCGGCUAACUACGUGCCAGCAGCCGCGGUAAUACGUAGGGGGCAAGCGUUAUCCGGAUUUACUGGGUGUAAAGGGAGCGUAGACGGUUGUGCAAGUCUGAAGUGAAAGCCCGCGGCUCAACUGCGGAACGGCUUUGGAAACUGUGUAACUGGAGUGCUGGAGAGGUAA